rnacentral:rRNA from 1 species
UACGAAGGGGGCUAGCGUUGCUCGGAUUGACUGGGCGUAAAGGGCGCGUAGGCGGUUUGUACAGUCAGACGUGAAAUUCCUGGGCUCAACCUGGGGGCUGCGUUUGAUACGUAUGGACUUGAGUUCGGAAGAGGGUCGUGGAAUUCCCAGUGUAGAGGUGAAAUUCGUAGAUAUUGGGAAGAACACCGGUGGCGAAGGCGGCGACCUGGUCCGAUACUGACGCUGAGGCGCGAAAGCGUGGGGAUCAAACAGG